rnacentral:rRNA from 1 species
UACGUAGGGUGCGAGCGUUAAUCGGAAUUACUGGGCGUAAAGCGUGCGCAGGCGGUUUUGUAAGUCUGAUGUGAAAUCCCCGGGCUCAACCUGGGAAUGGCAUUUGGGACUGCAAGGCUGGAGUGCGGCAGAGGAGACUGGAAUUCCUGGUGUAGCAGUGAAAUGCGUAGAUAUCAGGAGGAAUACCGAUGGCGAAGGCAGGUCUCUGGGCUGACACUGACGCUCAUGCACGAAAGCGUGGGGAGCAAACAGG